rnacentral:rRNA from 1 species
AUUGAACGCUGGCGGCAGGCCUAACACAUGCAAGUCGAACGAGUGGCGGACGGGUGAGUAAUGUCUGGGAAACUGCCUGAUGGAGGGGGAUAACUACUGGAAACUGUAGCUAAUACCGCAUACCCUCAGCUGUUCCCAGAUGGGAUUGGCUUGUAGGUUGGGUAACGGCUCACCAAGGCGACGAUCCCUAGCUGGUCUGAGAGGAUGACCAGCCACACUGGAACGGAGACACGGUCCAGACUCCUACGGGAGGCAGCAGUGGGGAAUAUUGCACAAGGGGCGCAAGCCUGAUGCAGCCAUGCCGCGUGUAUGAAGAAGGCCUUCGGGUGGUAAAGUACUUUCAGCGGGGAGGCGGGAAACGAAGAAGAAGCACCGGCUAACUCCGUGCCAGCAGCCGCGGUAAUUG